rnacentral:rRNA from 1 species
AUAGUGUAUAUUAAAGUUGCUGCAGUUAAAAAGCUCGUAGUUGGAUUUCGGAUAGUAAAAAUUUAACAUCCAUCUCUAAGAUGUGAUUUAAUUUUUACUUCCUUCCUUUUGAAUACACUCCCUAAAAUUUAUUUAUGGGAAAUAAGUGUUUCAAAUCGUUUACUGUGAAGAAAUUAGAGUGUUCAAAGCAGGCGUAACCUAGCCUUUGAAUAUGUUAGCAUGGGAUAAUGAAAUAGGACUUUAGUCCUACUUUCGUUGGUUUCUAGGGCUGAAGUAAUGAUUAAUAGGGAUAGUUGGGGUCACUAGUAUUUAAUUGUCAGAGGUGAAAUUCUAAGAUUUAUUAAAGACUAACUACUG